GAUGAACGCUUUCUUCUUUCCUAAUACAUGCAAGUCGAGCGAACAGAUAAGGAGCUUGCUCCUUUGACGUUAGCGGCGGACGGGUGAGUAACACGUGGGUAACCUACCUAUAAGACUGGAAUAACUCCGGGAAACCGGGGCUAAUGCCGGAUAACAUUUAGAACCGCAUGGUUCUAAAGUGAAAGAUGGUUUUGCUAUCACUUAUAGAUGGACCCGCGCCGUAUUAGCUAGUUGGUAAGGUAACGGCUUACCAAGGCAACGAUACGUAGCCGACCUGAGAGGGUGAUCGGCCACACUGGAACUGAGACACGGUCCAGACUCCUACGGGAGGCAGCAGUAGGGAAUCUUCCGCAAUGGGCGAAAGCCUGACGGAGCAACGCCGCGUGAGUGCUGAAGGUCUUCGGAUCGUAAAACUCUGUUAUUAGGGAAGAACAAAUGUGUAAGUAACUGUGCACGUCUUGACGGUACCUAAUCAGAAAGCCACGGCUAACUACGUG
rnacentral:rRNA from 1 species